rnacentral:lncRNA from 1 species
UUAAUUCAGGAAUAGGUGGCGAAGGCUACUUGUUCCUUGGCGGACUAUAUAUAAAGGAAAGGGGUUAUUUUUCCUUUACGGCAAUAAGAGUUGAUUCCCUUGCUUGUAGUUUUUGAUCGAUUCCGUGUAUUUAACAUAUUUAAGAGUGGUUAGGAGAGAGAAUCAAUGUUUAGUAGUAGGCCCGGUUCACCAGGUUCUACCACUGUUCGGCCCAAUCAUAGUCAAAAUCUGAGUUUGAUCCUGGCUCAGAAGGAACGCUAGCUAUAUGCUUAACACAUGCAAGUCGAACGUUGUUUUCGGGGAGCUGGGCAGAAGGAAAAGAGGCUCCUAGCUAAAGUUGUCUCGCCCUGCUUCAAAACUACAGGGCGCGCGCUACGGCUUUGACCUAACUCCGUUUGCUGGAAUCGGAAUAGUUGAGAACAAAG